CGCACAUUUGAAAGCGGCUACUAGGGUUUCUUUCUGCUUCUAUAAAUACUCUCUUUUCGCUAUUAUACCAAAUUAGCUCUUGCUCCUCGAUGCCCUGGUGUCUCUAAAUUUUGGUUGAGUCGUAGAUAUAAUAGCGAUGAUGAAUAUUAUAGUGUGCCAGAGGAGUCUCCAGUGACGUGAGUUUGUUAGUCACAUGAGAUUGUCCAAGUUCCAUUUAGCACUAGAAUUGGCCGAUAGCAAGAGAGCCAAGUUCAGUACAAGUGAACAGGAGCGAUAAUUUUGAAGCUAGGUACUCUCCUGUUAAAACAAAACAAACUUUAAAAGCUGAUAAAUCCAAAGCUCAAGUCAGACGGUCUAGGAAGUUUAUACACUUGAAUCUCCUUCAUCAUCGAACAUGAAAGGGAGCUGAGGAUUCACAACAUUAGUAAUUGUUAAAAGCUAUCAAAGCAAGCCAUUAUACAAAGUAGUGAUUAAACCCUUUGAUGGGACGAUGAAUCCCUUUUAAAACAUUGUCGUCCUCGAAAUGGAGUUGUGGUUCUUAAACCUGAAAUAAUAAAUGUGUGGAACUUCGAAAAAGGGUUGGACAAAAUACUGGCAUAAAAAAUUCAUUGAGUAAGGUCAUCAUCAGGUAAUGCAGAACCAUAAUAGCAGCUAUCAAGAAAGGCAUGGGUCGAAACUUAUUAUUCUGUAAGCAAAAGCAGCGGGCAAGUGGGGGGUGAUUGAGAUUGUUGCAAUUGGUUACGAUUUCAGCACAUCUCUACCUCGAUCGGUGUGUAGUAAUUUAACAAAUUCGUAUGCUGAACCAACGGAGUUAGCCCUGUUUUGGCAUCAUAAUUCAUAAUCCUCUUUCAACCUUUUAUUAUUAAAGGUGACCGAUGAUGUUUUUGCACUUUGGAUAAACCCAACUUGCAGACAUAGCAUACAAGCAUCUUUCCAUUGAUGAGAACGCUGUUUGUUGUUAUAGAGAUUGAUAACCAAGAUUACCAAUUAGAGCUUCAUUUGAUCCAACAGACCUUGCCCAUCAAGUUUGCUGCUUAUUGUCAGUCUCACGAACUCCUCAUGUGGCAUAGUCCUGAACCCUGCUUCCUUUGCCUUAACAACAUCUGGCAGUGGACCAAUCAUGUCCUUCAACUUCAUUCACCUGAAUCAACAGCGUCAAGGCAGUGGAAUCAGAGUGUGGUGCUAGACCAAUAACCUUGCUUGCUUGUGCACAAGGUGGAUAGUAGUUCAUCCUUAUUCCCUGUGUUCCAUCUUCAAAGAAGCUUGCAAACGUCUCCGGGUCUGUCCCCAGGUUCUUUGCAAUCAGCCUCAUGAGAUGAAUUGUAACCUUUUGUAAUGCCAUUGAGUACUUAUCCAUUGUUGCUCUGAAUUUCAAAUAAGAUUUAUACUUGAUUAGAAAAGUUGCUUGCUGGUUUAGAUUCGGAAUAUGCACAGAAUUUAUUACCUGAAUGAAGGGGGAAUAGUUGGCCAAAAUCUCAUGUUUCUCAAGGGCACAGGCCGGGGAAGAAGGAAAAGCAUGUCACCCCAAUCAAGCUUCUGGUCUUCAGACACUACAAAGGCUUGGCCGUAGCCUUCGAUGUUAUACGGUAGCUGGGCACAAGCCAACUUCUCAUUCAAUGGAAUCUGAUAGGAUUCAUCGAUGGAAACUACAUCGAACUCGACCUCUGGCCUGAUAUACCUGGAUGGGAUGUCUUUCAAGUUCUUGGAUGCAAGAGCUUGGACAUUUUCAACAGGUAAAGAACCACCAAAUCCCUCUCUGUUGAUCACCCCCGUCUCCAUUUUUCUAUGAAGCUGUCUAGUUCUCAAAUCUAACAAAAGUCUGAUUUAUUUUCAUGCGCUGAGGAUGCUUUGGAUAGGCGAUGAGUUUGGCUAAAAUAUGUACAUAAAAAUUUAGUUUAUUUGAUAUUUAUAAACAAUUACAUUUUAUUGAAGUUAUAUAUUAAAUAAUUAUUUUAAUAA